rnacentral:lncRNA from 1 species
CGCAUCAACCCGACCACCGACGCCUUUGCAUCACAAAUAGCUAAUCGCCUAAUGUUGUUGUACUCCUACCUGUGAAGCAAAUCACCAUAAAAUUUAUUAACAUAGUCAUGGAAGCAUCCCUGCAAGAUACCACUACGAUCAAAGUAGCACAUUACCAGCAUCCCCAAACAACAGAACCCAACACUGUCACUCAUAUCUAUAGGCCAGCAAUCAAAAUGCAGUAGAUCCCAGACACUUCCCAUCCACAUGUUGUAACCUCUCUAGCACACCGAGGUUCAGUUAACACAGAAGCACUAACAGAG